UUCAUGGAGAGUUUGAUCCUGGCUCAGGACGAACGCUGGCGGCGUGCUUAACACAUGCAAGUCGAACGAUGAAGCCCUUCGGGGUGGAUUAGUGGCGAACGGGUGAGUAACACGUGGGCAAUCUGCCCUUCACUCUGGGACAAGCCCUGGAAACGGGGUCUAAUACCGGAUACGACUGCGGGAGGCAUCUCCUGUGGUGGAAAGCUCCGGCGGUGAAGGAUGAGCCCGCGGCCUAUCAGCUUGUUGGUGGGGUAAUGGCCCACCAAGGCGACGACGGGUAGCCGGCCUGAGAGGGCGACCGGCCACACUGGGACUGAGACACGGCCCAGACUCCUACGGGAGGCAGCAGUGGGGAAU
rfam:Streptomyces sp. RSD-27 Contig975, whole genome shotgun sequence.